GUUCUCAGAAGAUAAAUUCCUUAUAGGAGAGACACAUGGUUUUCAAUGUAUUGAACAGAAUACUUAAGGUUGUCUGGAGAAACUUCAUGUUUAAUUUCUUCUCCUGACCAGGGAGCAAUUCUGUAAAUCUUCCUACAGAUCACCUGGAUUCUUCUGCUGUCUCCUGCUCUGAGAGCUAGCAGCCCAGCACCUCUGCUGUCUCCAACUGUCUGAUUUUCCAGCCGAAAUUCAUCAUCUGUGCUCAGCUGAGGUGGAUGCAGGUUGUCAUGAAAGAAAAGAUCAGUGCAACAUUUGGGAACCAUUCAGGUGUAUAUUUUUAAAUUCAGUCUCUCUUUCAGGACUGAUGUAUUCCUUCUGAUUACAUUAGUGAUAUAAGUGUUCCUGUACAUCCUUACCCAUUUUCACCUAUCAUGUACUUCUUUCUCCCCACUUCCCCCAUUACCCAUAUUCUAGUAGGAGCUUACUGUUAGAUUGCUCCUUCUGGGACCUAGUUGUUGACUUCUAUCUCAUUUAGUCAUUGUCUAAACAAUGAAACUAGUUGCCAAACUUAAAUGGUGGCACUGAGCAUGUUGUGUAUGCCACUUUGACUGCUCAGGGAACAGAACAAGUCAGCUGAGCCCAGCAAAUCCUUUUCUCUCAGGUAUGUGCUACCCUCUUCCUAUGGAUGCUACCUGCUAUUUCUUGUGAAUUGAUGAACUUCCCAGAUUCAUUUUUUAAACAUGACUGUUAAUGAAACCAUGAUUAUUGUCAACACCAUAAAACAAAUACAAAACAAAAGCCUGCUGAAAAAAAACCAGGGAAAAUACAAAGCAUAAUGGCGUCUCCAGAAAAGUGACUUGCUUAGUUAAUAGGGCUAAGACAGCAUCAUCUAAGACCACACCAUUAUUAGCAGUGUGCACUCUUUGGAUAAGUUUGGAGGGAAAAGCUAUACCAGUUCUCACUUCACAAUAGUGUUUUGCUGAGAAUAAACAAUCAACAACAAAAAAAAUCUAACUUAAGGAACUAGUCAGACUUAGAAAGCAGAAGGUCUCUUAGCAACAAAACCCUGUAACUAAUGUGAAGCAGCUGUGGUAAUUUUAGAAAAUGGCUCAAACUGUUGAAAAGCCAUUAGGAAGCUGAUAUAUAGAGAAUAAAAGGAACCACUCAACUUUAAAAAGAUUUCCCAAUAUGGAGUGUUAUGUUAUUUUAUAACUAAAUCUUACUCACCCAAAGCUUACAUGCCGCAAAAUGCUCUUUAUGACCAUGUAGCUGGAAUUCCAUCACAUACCUGAAAUUCUCCUGGUAAGAAGAAAUUGCCAGUGGCUAAGCACAUAUUCUUCUGUGGUAUAGGUGCGAUUGCUAUAUUUCAGUGAGGCUGAUGCCACUUAUGGUUUGAUUUAUUAUAUGCACUUGGAAUGGGAUCCUAAAUAAUUGGAAUCAAUUUCUUUAAUCCUGUAACUCUCAGCCUCUAUUGGAAAUAAUGAAAGCCACUUGCUUUUUGUAAACGCUGCAUACGGCUGAUUGUCAGACAUUAGCUAACAGUCUCUCUAACUUAUCUGUUUUUUUAUGUUAAUUGGAAAUAUCCAGCAGCCUGAAGAAUUCCAUAUUUUAAAAACAGUAUUUGGAGAAAAAAGCAAUACAAAAACAGAGGUGUGAGGAACAAAAAAUCUUACUGGUUUAUUCUUCAUGCUGCUACUGAUUGAUGCAUUAAAUAUGGGUUUUACUAUUUCUGUUUAUUAUACUGUGGUCUCAAAAAAGCCUAAAAAUCUUGACAAGCAAGAAUUGGUAUCAGAUAAAAAGCAUGUCAGCUAGCUUCAUCUAGAUUCAAAGAGACUGGAAUGCUUUCUUAAAUAAAGGUCGUGUUUGAAAAAUAAAGAAUGUUAAUUAAACUAUCUUGCAGAAACAGCAAUACAAACUUCUGACCAUGAUGAGUUGGAUGGGCCUCCAGAUAUUCAGCUGCAUUAGAUAAACCUGGGUUGACCUACAUAACCGAUCUAUGUGUGCAACAUGAAAAACUGUGCAAUCUGGGCAUAUCAAAAUUAAUGUUUUUGAAUCAAAAUUUGCUAUCAGGAUUGACUGUACAUGAGAAGACCUGUAUUCAGACCCAUUCACUUGUGAUGAAGUGUUCAACUCCCAUUUAAUUACUUAAUUAACCUUAAUUGCUUCCUAGCAGAGACAACAAAAGGGAUGCUUUUUUGCACUAGAAAUUGUAUAGGAUACAAAUAGAAAGAUAUAGGCUGUGGUAUUAAAUGAUGAUUAUUAUAAAAGCAUAUAUCUAGUCAGCUUUGGAAAAAUUAUGUUUUAGAAAUAAUUGCAAAAAAAUCCCACCAUGUUAGGAAGAUCAGAUGAUAAUAAUUUCUUAAACAACGUUUGAGCUCUGAUUGACCCAAAUAAGAAGCCCAAAGAUUAGUGUUACAUAUAAAAAAACACAAAAGAAAACAAAAUUUCCACAAAUAAGAAAAUUCCUGACAGCUCAGUAAGUUGUUUUUAAUAUUUCUCAGUAAAAAAAUAAAUUAAACUAGAAGGUCUGCUUCUUAGCAUCAUGCUUAUCUUCGCUAUUUUAGGCUCUUUUUAUUGGUCACUGGUGUUAAAAUGAUGAUAGAAUGUUUAUUGCAAAACAAAUGAUAAAACAAGGUGUAGAAAGAUGCAAAGAUAUGGUCUGUAUCAAGAUUUUAAAAUCUAGUAUUUUAGAUUACUUCUAAUUGGACUUACUCAUACUAUCUCUUUCAUCAACUAGAUUAGAUGAUAAUAAGUUUAUUAAUGACAAAGAAAAGAAUAAAUAUUGGUGGGCAAAUAAGACUAAACUUGGCAGAAGAUACAGGGUUGUACAAAAUUUGUGAUAUUUAGUAGCUUUAAGUUGGAUGGAAAUUGGUAAUGAUAUUUAGUAGCUUUAAGUUGGAUGGAAAUUGGUAAUGCUGGCAAAGUUUCAUGUUUUGUCUGUAAGCACUCUUAGAAAUAAAAUCUAACUCAAGUAAACAAAUAAAAACAAUUUUUCAGAAAUGU